GAUGAACGCUGGCGGCAUGCCUAAUACAUGCAAGUCGAACGAGAGGAAGGAAAGCUUGCUUUUCUGAAUCUAGUGGCGAACGGGUGAGUAACACGUAGGUAACCUGCCCAUGUGCCCGGGAUAACUUCUGGAAACGGAUGCUAAAACCGGAUAGGUAGCAGACAAGCAUUUGACUGCUGUUAAAGUGGCUAAGGCCAUGAACAUGGAUGGACCUGGGGUGCAUUAGCUAGUUGGUGAGGUAACGGCCCACCAAGGAGACGAUGCAUAGCCGGCCUGAGAGGGCGGACGGCCACAUUGGGACUGAGACACGGCCCAAACUCCUACGGGAGGCAGCAGUAGGGAAUUUUCGUCAAUGGGGGGAACCCUGAACGAGCAAUGCCGCGUGAGUGAGGAAGGUCUUCGGAUCGUAAAGCUCUGUUGUAAGAGAAAAACGACAUUCAUAGGGAAUGAUGAGUGAGUGAUGGUAUCUUACCAGAAAGUCACGGCUAACUACGUGCCAGCCGCCGCAGUAA
rnacentral:rRNA from 1 species